AGCCUUGCAGUGUUGGUCAUGUUAGAUUGCAAAUCUAAAGAAGUAGGCUAAAGGCCUACCGGGGCUU
rnacentral:tRNA from 1 species